UCUGAUCUACGACACCGCUACCUCUACCGCUGUCGCGGUAGAGAUACCUGUGUCUGUUAUAUAUCAAAGGUCCUUCAUGCCUGGCCCAAGGCCAUGACGUUUUUAGGUUUUUGAGAGAAGCUGGCCUUCUCCCAAACCUGCGGAUUUUAUUGUUUUCUAAUGUUUUAUUUAAUUCUAUUGUAGUUUUUUUUUUUAGUAUAAUUUUAUUGUAGUUUUGUUUUUUAUCUGCGGCGCCAUAUGACCUCUGCUGUUGCGCGUUGCGGCGACUCCAUUUAUAUCCAUCCAUCCUGGAUUGCUGCCAGGAAUGCUAACAUCAGUGCUACUUGUAUAGAGCAUACUUUGACUUGAAAUCACAGGAUCGAAAGUUCAAACCUGAAGAUGAAGUCCUGGUGCUCCUGCCUGACACUACCAACAAGCUCCUGAUGGCCUAGGCUGGCCCAUAUACCGUACUUGAAAACAGAACCAGCUGUAACUACCUAAUUGAUGAAAACGAGGCUGAUACCAACUUGGACUUCUCACCUCUUGAGGAAGGAGUUACAGAACCUCCAGAUCUGUUUCCGGUAUCGCCUGACGGCCGUGAAGGUGUAGAGGAGAUGGACACUCCUAGUUCUCCUGAGCUUGAUAGUACAUUGACGGUUUCGCAAGAGAAUGACUUGAUUUGUCUUCUUUCUGACUUCCAGGAUGUCUUCUCUGAAACCCCUGGAUGUACAUCUGCCUACUUAUCCACCAGGGAGUCAUGCAGUCAUCUUCAUCUCCUCAUUGCUCCCCAGUUGUUAUAGUAAGGAAAUAUACAGGCAGCUAUCGUAUGGCCAUCGACUAUUGAGUUCUGAAUGCUAUCACAGUUUUCAAUGUAGAACCUAUCAAUACCAUAAUUGAAGAUCUCCAUAAGUUUCAAGGGAGUAAGUAUUUCAGUGAGAUUGAUCUAACUAAAGCCUAUUAUCAGAUUCCAAUCAUUGAUAGUACUAAGCCACUUAUUGCUUUUCCCACUCACAAAGGACUAUGGAAUUUUGCCUGAUAGUGCUAAGCCACUUAUUGCCAGCUCCUAUUUAGUUUAAUUACAGCUUGUGCCACCUACAUCAGAUUAAUGAGGAUUCUCUUAGCAGGACUAACCAGAGUAUCGUUCUACUUCGGUAAUAUUUUCAUCUAUGGAACAACCUGGAUAGAACACAUCACAAGCCCUCAAGUCCGUACUUUGGCGUCUUCGAGAACACGGACUGCUUCACUGUUCAAGUAUCGAAGUGUCGAUUCUGGUUCGAAUCCAUCCAGUAUCUGGGCUUCACUGUAGACGGUAAGACGCUUCGUCCUCAAAAUGAUAGUCUGCCAUUUCUUCCUGCAGUCCUCCAAGUACCGAAAAGGUACUUCGAUCCUUCUUGGGAAUUUAUUUUUUAUGGAGACUUUAUCCCCUAGGCUUCCUCCAUAUAAGUUGUCUGUCUGACCUUCUCCGCAAGGGCGUCACCGAACCACUAGUCUGGACUGACGAACAUCGGAGGAGCUUCAAAAUCUAUCAGGAUUCCACUCGUCCUUUCGUGCUACGAACGGACGCUUCAAAGCACGGGCUAGGAGUAGUCCUGCUUCAAUAUGUGGACGGCUGGCCUCACCCAGUUACGUAGCCAGUCGAAAACUUCGAGAUCGAGAGAAGAUUUUCCACCAUUGAAAAGGAGUGCCUUGACGUCUGUUUUGGUAUUCAACACUUUGAUUAUUACCUUAGAGGGAAGGAGUUUAUUUUAGAAGUGUAGUGUUUUAGUUCGUUAUAGAUUUUGUGUAGUACACAUUCCUGGGAAAAAUAAUGUUGGGGCUGAUAUUCUCCAGAGUGUUCAGUGUAGUGCUUUACUUAGUUGUCUUUGUAUCAAGGCUUGUUGGGGGAGGUAUGUGAAGACAACUAGGGGUUAAACUAUCAGCUUGUUACUUUAAAGGUAACAAGGCCAGAAACUAUUGGGAUACUUUAGAACUAUCUUGUUUCUUAUUGAUGGUUGUCUUGCUUAUUGAUGGUCGUUGUUAUGCUAUCUCUUCGCUUAACAUUUCCGGUGUUCGAGGUACUGUCUCCUGCGCUGAAUUCCGGCUUCCGAUCUGACGCCUGGGUUACGAGACGGAGGAAAGGGAGAUUCUCCUGAGCUCUGGCUGAGUCAACACUACCUAGACACCCCUCUGCCUUCAGAAGUAUUUUCCCAUGAAGCCCUGCUCACCGCUUGCUUUGGGGGACCUGAGCCAGUCUCCUGGCAGCCGUGUUUAGCCAGUCUGAGUCCAGACCAGCCUUUGGAUGAACCACCAUAUUACUCGGGCCUGCUGGUGGUUCUGCAUUCGCUCCCUGCUUCAAUCCUGGUCACCGCUGGAUACCGCUCUACCUACUCUCCACCCCUACACCCUGCUCCAUUCCUCGUCCUCUCCUCGGGAUCCUGUACCCGUGUGCUGCCAGGGACGGCCGUGUGUGAAGUGGAUGGGCGUGGUACCAGCGUUAGAGCAGCUACCUCUUCUUUCAUUAAAGUGGUGCUUUGUUA